rnacentral:rRNA from 1 species
CCUACGGGAGGCAGCAGUGAGGAAUAUUGGUCAAUGGCCGGAAGGCUGAACCAGCCAAGCCGCGUGAAGGACGAAGGUGCCAAGCAUUGUAAACUUCUUUUGUCAAGGGACAAAAUCAGGCUCGAGAGCCUGACCGAGGGUACUUGAAGAAAAAGCAUAGGAUAACACCGUGCCAGAAGCCGCGGUAUUACGGAGGAUGCGAGCGGUAUACGGAUUUAUUGGGUUAAAAGGGUGCGUAGGCGGACGGUUAAGUCAGCGGUAAAAGCACGGGGCGCAACCCCGGCGAGCCGUUGAAACUGGCUGGCUUGAGAUGUCGAGAGGUAUGCGGAAUGCGCAGUGUAGCGGUGAAAUGCUUAGAUAUUGCGCAGAACUCAGAUUGCGAAGGCAGCAUACCGGCGGCGAUCUGACGCUGAGGCACGAAAGCGUGGGUAUCGAACAGGAUUAGAUACCCCUGUAGUC